CAACUUUCAACAAUGGAUCUCUUGGUUCUGGCAUCGAUGAAGAACGCAGCGAAAUGCGAUAAGUAGUGUGAAUUGCAGAAUUCAGUGAAUCAUCGAAUCUUUGAACGCACAUUGCGCCCCUUGGUAUUCCAUGGGGCAUGCCUGUUCGAGCGUCAUU
rnacentral:rRNA from 1 species